rnacentral:lncRNA from 1 species
GCAAAAGAGAAGUUGCUGUUGAAGCACUGGUUCUAUUAUCACGCCUCUCCAGCCCUUUGGAGUCCCGGCCUCCAGCUUUUGAAACCGUCCCCGGGGCAACAGAGUCCCUUGCUCAGAUGUCGUUCGGUAUCUGGGACUGGGAGGGGUCCUGGACCACACGCAUUCUCACUCUGUGAUUUUGCUUAUCCCCCAGGUCCAUUCUCCUUUCUCCACUCUGGAAUGCCCUCCUCCCACCAAGGCCCACGCCAGAUGGAGGUGGAUGCCACACCCACA